CCUACGGGUGGCUGCAGUGGGGAAUAUUGGACAAUGGGCGCAAGCCUGAUCCAGCAAUGCCGCGUGUGUGAAGAAGGCCUGCGGGUUGUAAAGCACUUUGAGUGGGGAAGAAGGCCUGGGGGUUAAUAGCUUCUGGGAUUGACGUUACCCACAGAACAAGCACCGGCUAACUCCGUGCCAGCAGCCGCGGUAAUACGGAGGGUGCGAGCGUUAAGCGGAUUUAAUGGGCGUGAAGUGAAAGCCGGCGGUUGAACCUGGUAACUGCAUUGGAUACUGUUUGACUGGAGUGUGGUAGAGGGGUGUGGAAUUUCCGGUGUAGCAGUGAAAUGCGUAGAGAUCGGAAGGAACACCAGUGGCGAAGGCGGCACCCUGGACCGACACUGACGCUGAGGUGCGAAAGCGUGGGGAGCAAACAGGAUUAGAUACCCGAGUAGUC
rnacentral:rRNA from 1 species